GUAGGCAUGGCUGCUGAGCCUGCACUGAGUAGAUGGUCCUGGAUGCUCCGGCAGGUGUGGUGCGGCUUGGUUUCCAGCAAUCUUGCUGGUGGGUGUUCAGCCACUGACUGUAUGUGUAUAUCUUUGUCAUUGUUGUUAUCAGUAUUAUGGUGAUGACUUUCUCUGACUUUUAUGCAUUUAGGCUAAAGGAACCUGGAAAAACACAUGAAUCAAAAUAAAAGUUGAUUCACCUUUCCAGGGCAGAGUUACAAGCGUCAAAACUCUCAGGCGAGAUCUGCCAGUGACGUUCUGACCGCAUGCCUCUCUGCAAGGAAAGUGGUAUGUGUUGUUUUUUCCAGCAGUGGAAAUACAAAUGAUUAACUCUGGAAACCAUGGCUGUUUCACUGAUAACUAAUUUGUUUGCUGAUAAAUGAUUACCCAGGAGCCAGAAUAGAGACCCAAAAGUCAAACUGCAAAAAUUAUUAAGUUCCCUCUGUAUGCAGAAUAUUGUGCAACAUGGUUAUGGGUACUACAGUGGAUGUGAGUGUGUAGACCUUGUACAAUAGAGCUUAUAGGCUAAUGAGAAGACAGGAAGAAACAACAGGAACACAUAUAGCUGGAAUGCAGAUGGGAUCUGUGCUACUUACGCUAGCCAUGGGAUGAUUAGAACAAGAUAAGAGACAUGAGGAAGACUUCUUCAAGGAGGUGCUCAAGCCAUGUUUUGGAAAAGAGAACUCAAGGUCUGGCAGGGAGAAAGGAGCAAGACUGCCUGGCAGCUCUUUAGAAAGUUGUGUGACGUAUGAACCAGUUCUUCCCUAUAUGAGAGUGUACCGUACAUCGCAGGCUGUCCAGCAUCGACCCCACUGAUGGAUGCUAGUAGUCCUCCCCGCCAGCACUCAACAUUGUGACAGUCAAAAACAUCCUCUCUACAUUUUCAAUGCCCCUGUUGGGGUAGCAGGACUCCCACUGAGAGACCCCAGUAGAGAUGGUCCCCAAGCAUGCUAACCAUGAAGCAGUGAUAUCGCACAGCACCUGCUUCCAGCAGCCCGGAGCCAAGGGGCAAAAUGGAAAGAGUCAGCAUUUCUCUUUUAGGUUCUCUGCCUCUCUAGUGUGUAAGCUUUUAACCCCCACUACGCGUCUUCGUUCCAUUCUCCUCCAGUACCCAUUUUAGUGAGCUUCUGUUGUUUCUGCCCCAGGAUAUCUCUAACAAAGAACCAAGAUAUUUAUCAGGAGAACUUCUCCCACUCUCCUCUCAGUCCUUGGGGAUCUGAUGAAAUGACACUUCUUGGACUGUGGGGUGGAGCAUGUGAGUCACACCUGGGCCAAUCAUUUUAUCCUAUUUCGUGACCACAUGACCAAUUCAGGGAUGGGAACAUGACCCAGGUGGAACCUAUGAGAGGCAGUGAGAUCUUUCCAGGUACUUCCAGGAAAGAGGGUCUCACUUUUCCCUCUAUAAUGUACACCAGAGAAGGUGUGUGGCUGAAGCUGCUACCAUCCUCUUGUGGCUACAGGAAGCUGGGAUUAAUUGUAACAACGCAAUUGGCAGAUCUGAAAGCUGAGAACAAAAAAGCAAAAAACCUGUGUUCUAAUAACACUAUAUAUGAGCCCUAAAUCCAGCUAUGCCUGGAGCCAGUCUUACUGUGGAAUUUUUAACCUAAGCUGGUUGAUAAAUUAUCUUUUCAUUUAAGACAAAGUCAUGGCAGAUUUUUUGCCACUUGUGAGAAGAAGACAGAUACACCCAAGAAGCUCCUGUUCUUUCUCAUUAACCCAUAUUAAAACCCACUUUCGGGAAAGGAUUCUCCAUUCUAAAUUAUUAAUAACUGAUAAUGCUUCAAAGUCAAAGUAUGACUCCUUCAAGAAAGUUUUCAGCUUUCAGGAUUUGUUCAGCAAAUACUGAGCCCCUUCUGAUGCAAAUAGACAUGGCAGUGUAUGCUAGGAGGAGAGUGUAGCCAAGUUUUCCCAUCAAACUCGGUAUUUCAGUGCCUAAUUUUGGCCAUUCAGAUAAGUUUCAACUUCUAGUAAUGGCCAAGUAAAUUAUAUCUAACUAAACCUUCUGCCAAAGACAGUGGUAAAUUCUGGACCCAAAACACAAUGAUAACAACAAAACCUGUUUGAAGGUUCUUGAAACUGGCCAACAUGGUUUGGUUCUGCAGACAAAAACUGAAGACAUGACCCUUGAAAAAAGGAAAUCACAUAUGGUGAGAUACACAUUUAUCAGGUUUUCCUUCAGCAGCGCUAUCCAUUUCCUGCAGUGGACGGAGGUAGAGCUCAGCAGAAAGUGGCUGUUCUACUGAGUUAAAAAGUUAGAGGUUAGAAUUUGGGGCUUCCACAGUAGCAGGAGAUUGGGAAGGAGGGAAUCUCGCAAAGGAGGGAGUCUCAGAUGGGGAGCUCCCAAAUCUGUGUACAAACUUCUCUGAUUCCUAAACUGUGCAUCUGGGUGAGGUUCAAGGAGCUGAGGGAAAAAUAACAGCUGGAAGGCUAAAAAGGUGUUGUCUUGUGUUGAGCAGAUGGUGCUUAGGGUUUAGUUCUCACCAAGUUAGAGGACUCUGGAGAACACCUAAAGCUUUCUACUGAGACUACAGAAGGAGUAAUGACUACUCCCCAGGACUAAAGCCUAUGUCCUAGGAAUAAAGGCAAAACCAAGAUAGGCCCACCCUGACAAAGCCUAAAACCAACUCUUCAUAGCCGCAUUAUGCAAUAUAGUAACUUCUAGGCACACAUGGCAUUUCAAAUUUAAUUAAAACUAAGUAAAAUUUAACAUGUAGUUCCUCAGACACACUAGCCACAUUUCAAAUGUUCACAGACACAUGUAGUUAAUGGCUAUGAUACUGGACUGCACAGACUACAGAAUAUUUCUAUCAUCAUGGAAGUUCUAUUGAAUGGCAUUGCUCUAUAGGAUCAAGACUAUGCUAGUAAUUUAACUGCUUGAUAGAACAAAUGUCAAAUUUCUUCUAAGGAAGAUAGUAGACUCCAAAGUCUUUUUAAUAUCAUCCAAAAUGCUCAGCAUACAAUUUUUAAAAAUUACUAAUUGUGCAAAGAAUCAGGAAAAUGUAACCUACAGUGAAGAGAAACAACAGGUGAUAAACAUAGACUCACAAGUGACCCAGAUGUUAGAAUUACAAAAGACUUAAUAACUAUAAUAAGUUAAAGAGUCUAUAGGAAAAUAUAUCUGUAGUAGCUGAAGAGAUGGAAAAUUUUAAGAGAGCUAUGGAAACUUUAAAAAAGAACCGAAUGGAAAUCCUGAAACUGAAAGAUACAAUAUCUGACAUUGAAAAUGCAUUAGUUUGGAAUUAACAGCAUAAUGAACACAACAUAAAAAAUCAGUGAGGCUGGAUGCGGUGGCUCACGCCUGUAAUUCCAGCACUUUGGGAGGCCGAGGUGGGCAGGUCACUUGAGGUCAGGAGUUCAAGACCAGGCUGGCCAACAUGGUGAAACCCCAUCUCUACUAAAAAUACAAAAAUUGACCUGGCGUGGUGGUGGGCACCUGUAAUCCCAGCUACUCAGGAGGCCGAGGCAGGAGAAUUGCUGGAGCCAAGUAGGCAGAAGUUGCAUGUGCUGAGAUCACGCCACUGCACUCCAGCCUGGGUGACAGAGCAAGACUCUGCCUCAAAAAGAAACAUUAAAAAAAAAUUAAUAAAUAAAUAAGAAAUCAUCAGUGAACUUGAAGACCAGUCAACGGAUAUUAUUUAAUCAGAAAGAAAAAAAGAUUAGAAUAAAAAGAAGAAUAGGGCCUAAAAAUCCUGUGGGAUAAUAUCAAGCAGUCUAACAUAUGUAUAUUUAGAGCUCCAGAAAGAGAAGAGAAACAGAAUGAAGUAGAAAAAGUAUUUGAAGAAAUAUUGACUGGAAAGCCAGGCACAGUGGCUCACACCUAUAAUCUCAGCACUUUGGGAAGCCAAGAUGGAAGGAUUACUUGAGCCCAGGAGUUCGGGACCAGCCUGGGCAACAUAGCAAGACCCAGUCUCUACAAAAAAAUUAAAAAAUUAGACAGGCAUGGUGGUGUGUACUUGUAGUCCCACCUACUCAGGAGACUGAGGCAGGAGGAUCACUUGAGCCCAGGGGGUCAAGGCUGUAGUGAGCCGUGAUUGUACCACUGCCCUCCAGCCUGGGUGAUGAGUGAGAUGCUGUCUCAAAAAAAAAAAAAAAAAAAAAAAAAGAAAGAAAGAAAGAAAGAAAAGAAAUAUUGACAGGAAAAUCUUCCGGUUUGAUCAAAAACAGUAACCUCAGCAAACUCCCAGUAGAAUUAUUUCAGCCAUUUAGAUGUCUCUGACCCAAAACCCAGCCCCACCCAACUCACUGACAAGACACAAGGUAAUAUACAGACCAAGAAUUUCUGCAAGGAUAAUAGGGCCUGAGAUGAGGGUACAGAUAUUCAGAGGCAGUGCCGACACUGAAAAAAUUCCACAGGUUUCUUCUCAGAAUCUUGCUGACUCCAGAAAACAAGUCUAGAGUAUACUUUUCCUACUGAAGGAUCUGACAGUCCUCUUUCAGGCCACCCUGAGACGGGCUCCAUAAUAUUUUGAAAGUAUUAGGUUGAUUUGACUUUAGCUUCAAUUCUACUUAAAGGAAAGAUAUAUUUAGAUAGAGAAUAGAUUUCUGGGAGCUAGAGAAAAUGAGGCAAAAAAGAGCUAGAGUAAAGCUAACCCAAAACAUAGAUAGCCCCUUAUCAAGAAUCGGGUUGAGUGGAAUGAAGAAAAAGUUGGCAGGAUUUACCCCCACAAUGAUGCACACAUUCUUGGUGGGGGCCCUUAGUUACAUGGGUCAGGAACUAAUAAGUCCCUGUGGCACUUUUGAUGCUUUCUGUGGCAAGUAACAACAACAACAAUCAUCACAAUCAUAACAACUUAUCAAACUGACUUAAACAUAAGGAAAUUUGUUAUUUCACAAAACUGAAAUUUUAGGACUAAACUCAGGACUUUUAAGUUGCACCUUGAAUAGCUAAACAGAGUGUUGAGUUGCACACUUGUCUGGCUGAACAAAUCAGGAGCUGGUUGAUUCAGAAGCCCAAUGAUGCCAACACAGACCCAUGUCUUUCCUUCCCUCUUCUGCUCUUCUUGUCAAAGGUUUCACCUUAAGGUCAGUUCCCUUCAAGUGUCAAGUAUACAUGUGCAUACCUGGUCAUAUCUAGCAGGAGAAAGAGAAAACAAGAAAACUCUUCCCUUGAUCAAGGAGUGUAAGUCCUUCGCUUUAGCCUGAUUUAACCAAAUUAAGUUGUACCUAUAAGGAAAAAGGUAAUUUGUCUUAGGUAGUAGCAAUGAGAUUUUAGAACUGAUACUGGUUGGGUACCUUCAAGUCUGUGUUUCUAUACAAUUUCUUAACAUGGGCCUCUGAUAUUAGGGAGAUUCUGGAGUUACAUAUCUUGAUAAUUUAGGAGUAAAUUUCCCUUAGCAACAGUUAAUUAUGCCUUAAUUUAUUUUGUGUUGCUAAAGAGCAAAUGAUGAACCCAUUGAGUUGCUGUUGAAGCUUUGAUUUGAAUUUAGUAAUUCCUGAUUGCCUGUAUCAUGGGACUUUCUCUAGUAUUAGACAAUCUUCCAGUUCCUCAAAUGAGGCAUGUUCUAUUAGGCAGCAACUGGUGUGUUUGAGACCAUUUGUAAGUAUUUUAGGUGAUAGACAAUAAUACACAUAGUGCCAAUGAUAAAGUCAAUCCAGUCACAGGACCACCCAGAAAAUAUUGGGGACUCUAACAAAAGGAGCAACAAAAUCCAAAACAAUCAUAACAAAAAAUGAAAGAGGGAACACUGAAUUUGAUGAAUUAAAAAUUAUGAGAAGAUUUUUGUUGGAAAUAUUCAGAUGGCAGUAACUUCUAAUGUGACUAAGCUAUCCUGUUGCAUAGUGAAACCAGUUUGCUAAGUACCUUUUGUUUUGUUUUGUUUUGUUUGAGGCAAUGUCUUACUCUGUCACCCAGACUGGAGUGCAGUGGUGCUACUACAGUUCACUGCAGUCUCAAUCUCUCAAGCUCAAGCGAGCCUCCUGCCUUAGCCUCCUGAGUAGCUGGGACCACAGGCACAUGCCACCACAGGCACAUGCCACCACACCCAGGUCAUUUUUAAAAAUUUUUGGUAGAGAUGAAGCCUCACUGUAUUGCCUAGGCUAAUCUCGAACUCCUGUGCUCAAGCAAUCCUCCCACCUUGGCCUCCCAAAGUGCUGGGAUUACAGGUGUGAGCCACUGCACCAGGCCCAAAGUACAUUUUUCACACCUGAUUGGAUUUUGUUCUAGUUGGCCUAUCCACUAUGUGGUAUGAGUAUACUUCCUGGGUAAUGAGAAUGGCAAACACUUGUGAUUACCUAGUUGUCAAGAUGAUUACUAAUUCUAACCUAGCAUUCUAAUCUAGAGUUCGUUUCUAGAUUAGAAUUAGUAAUCAAGUCACAGUGAAAGAAAAAAAGAGUUUCUGGGAAGGCAGAAGGAAAAAUUGGUAAAUUCACUUUUACUGUUUACAUAUUGACUUGUUUUUCUUAAUGUUAACUGCAGAAUUUGUUUCGUCAUCCAAGGUGCAAAUAAAAGUCCUGAGAGUUUAGUUCUAUGUCAUCUCUUUUAUAAAUAACAGAUGUCAGUUAUACUGCCAUGCACCUGUUAACCUCGGAGGCACCCUCACUGCCCACUAACCCCCUCCUUGCUCUAGAGGUGCCGAGAAUGGGUGAAAGCAGAGGGGGGAUACCCAAGCCAAAGUGAAGCAGAGGUAAAAUGGCAUGGAGAAAAUCACUGCAGGACAAUACAAAGUCAAGGUCAAAUGAUGGGAUGAGACAGAGACAUAGAGAAAACCAUCCAGAGAACACUGGCCUAAAGCAAUCCUUGGUGGUGGUGAUGGGGGUGGGCGGGGGGUUCUUUUGAAACCAUGGUGUUUGGUAAACUAGGAAAUAAAGAGAUGAAGGUAAAUAUCAUGCCAGCCUCAGCAAACAGCAGCUGGAACGAAAGAAACUCAAGGACAGCCCUGAGCAUGGAGAAAAUAGUGCUGGGUAGGCAUUGUUCUCCAGAGCCAGAGCACACACACAGAGGCCACCACUGAAAGUGAAGGACAACUGGAGUUGGGAGUACGUGUGCAUCUUUGAAAAAGGCAUAGCGCUUUCUGGAGACAGACACUGAUUUUGAAAUCAUUUUAAUGGCAAUUCUUUUCACAAGCUGUGACCCAAACAUACUCAAGUUGAAGUAUCACCUCUUUUUCCCUGGUUACUUCUGCUGCCUUGGCUUAUCUCAGGAGACCUUGGUAUCUCAACCCUGAUAUUUUCUCCUCCAUCUCCUUGCCUGAAUUAAAACUCUUCUUUACCCAGAGAGCACUGCUUUUCUUGCAGCCCUCUGGAGUCCUUUUCCACACCCUAGAUAUCCUAGAUUAGGAUGUGGAUGUGGCUGCCCCCUCAUUCCCUAAUGCAGCCCCCAAGCAUUCCUGUAAAAAUGGCUGCUCCUCUGAAGUUCAGGUAGUGUUGUUCUUGUCCACUGGUCUCCGGAAACUCCCUCUUGUUCCCCAAGGACUUUCCCUUCUUGCUUCUAGUAUUCCCUCACACCUCAACCCUGUCAUCCUCCGGAGAAGCGUUACUGUACCCAUGGAUGACCUAGUCAACACUCUGGCCUCUCAAUGCCUUCAUCUACUUCACUACCUCCAGCACCCACCUCUCAGUGGCACCUGGAUCUUGUUACCUCUUCCAUCUCCUUCUCUGAUGACAGCUCCCUCAUUCCAGUCCACUUGCACACCUGCUCUGCAUCUCACCACACAAGGUCCUUAGACCCUGGCCACUCUACUUUUCCUUAUCCAUUAACCCACUCUGCCCUUGUUUCUCUUUGAAGCCACAUUAAACUCCACAGUCCAUUAUCUUAGUCACUGUCUUGCCAAUACCCUAAACUUACUGGCCUAUUUUUUCCUUUCAUCACGUCCACCUGGGCGGGGGGUAUCCUAGAAGAACUCAACAGCAUACUUUCUUAUUUAUGUCUCUCCCUAGGCAGCAAAGUAUGACUAGAGAGAAAUAUCCCAGCCUACAGCCUGCACCCAGUCACCACCUUCCCUGAUUCUCAAACCUCCCUCACCCCUAGGGAAUCUCACCGUCCUCCUCUUGUCCCUCACCCUUCUGUCUCUGAAACGACCAUUUUAAACUUUCUCCACUUCUCAAAGCUUUGAGCCCCCAUCUCAUCGCUCACUCCAGUAGAUGUCUUUGUUCUUACUUCACAGAGGAAAUAGAUGCGCUCUGGUAGCAAUUACCUCACUUCCUGCCACCGGCUCCUAUAAACCAACCUGCACCUCUGCGCCCAUCCUUUGCUCUUCCCAUCUGGCAAAAUGGAACUGAUGUCUCUCCUCCUACAAAGGUCAAGUCUCUUCUUAUGCCAUGGAUUCCAGCCUUCUUAGGAAAGAGUAGACUUUGAGUCUUUGCUUCAGAUGCAGAUCAAGAUGUGGCAACCUGUUGUGGAGAACUGGGUCCCUUGAGCCUGUGCUGUCUCUUUUUUUCUGGUGGCUUUGUCAUUUGGAACAAUGCAUAAUGGGCUGGAGGCUGAGAAACUCUGAGCUGAGGUGACACAAGGAUGACAGGAACAGUUAUCAGGGAAGCACACUGAUCGACUGAGCUGCCUGCUCCUGGCCUUCUGGAUCCUCCUCAGUUCCUGCUUAUCUCUAGGCCAGGCUCUCAACUCUGUCAAUUCU
rnacentral:tRNA from 10 species